GAUGAUGAACGUAGCGAAAUGCGAUACGUAAUGUGAAUUGCAGAAUUCAGUGAAUCAUCGAGUCUUUGAACGCACAUUGCGCCCGCCAGUAUUCUGGCGGGCAUGCCUGUCCGAGCGUCAUUUCAACCCUCGAACCCCUCCGGGGGGUCGGCGUUGGGGAUCGGCCCUUUACGGGGCCGGCCCCGAAAUACAGUGGCGGUCUCGCCGCAGCCUCUCCUGCGCAGUAGUUUGCACACUCGCAUCGGGAGCGCGGCGCGUCCACAGCCGUUAAACACCCCAAACUUCUGAAAUGUUGACCUCGGAUCAGGUAGGAAUACCCGCUGAACUUAAGCAUAUCAAUAAGCAGAGGA
rnacentral:misc_RNA from 1 species